UUCCAGGCGUUGCAGAGUUUGCAGCCUCCUUUAAGAGUCCCAUUGCUAGUUCUCCCCCCAAAUGGAUGGCGGAGCUGGAGCAUGACGACAUGGACAUGCUGAAAGAAUUGGGGAGUCUCACCAUUGCUAACUUGAUGGAGAAGGUGCGAGGACUGCAGAACCUGGCCUAUCAGCUGGGACUGGAGGAAU